rnacentral:rRNA from 1 species
AACGAACGCUGGCGGCAUGCCUAACACAUGCAAGUCGAACGAAGGCUUCGGCCUUAGUGGCGCACGGGUGCGUAACGCGUGGGAAUCUGCCCUUUGGUUCGGAAUAACAGCUGGAAACGGCUGCUAAUACCGGAUGAUGACGAAAGUCCAAAGAUUUAUCGCCAGAGGAUGAGCCCGCGUUGGAUUAGGUAGUUGGUGGGGUAAAGGCCUACCAAGCCGCCGAUCCAUAGCUGGUCUGAGAGGAUGACCAGCCACACUGGGAGUGAGACACGGCCCAGACUCCUACGGGAGGGAGCAGUGGGGAAUAGUGGACAAUGGGCGCAGGGCUGAUGCAGCAAUGCCGCGUGAGUGAUGAAGGCCCUAGGGAUGUAAAGCUCUUUUACCCGGGAAGAUAAUGACGGUACCGGGAGAAUAAGCCCCGGCUAACUCCGUG